UUUUUUUUUCUUUUUUGCUACUGCAAACAGUGCUAUAAUAAAUACCCUUAUCAAAAAUGUCCAGUGUACAUGUGUGGAGAUAUAUAUACACACAUAUGUGAUAGAUACGUAACUUGUAACCAUGACAUGCUGGGUGAAAGAAUAUGUGCAUUUUAAGUAUUCCUAGAUAAUACCAAGUAGCCUGCCAAACCAAACCCUAUUUUUCUAGUUAUUUUCACCUGCAGCUUCAGAAAUAUGCACAGAAAAUUAUGAGUCUUCAGUCAGUCCUUUUAGACAUCCAUAUAUUUAUACUCAUUUUCCACAGGUCCCCCUCAGACACAUAAACACUCACUCUGUUAGCUCCCACUCUACUGCACACCUGGAAGCCCUGCUCCCUGAAACUGACUCUGGGGCCCUAGAACUGACUCUGGGGCCCUGGCAGAUCUUUGGUGUAAUGAGUCAUGGGCCUCGAUCUGUGGUUUUGGAGUCUGAGGAUGUAGAAUGGGGACAGGAGAGAAGCUGGUAGAUAUACACAUGAAGAUGUGGCCAGGCCCCUGGGCCAGCCAUGGACCCUCCCCACCCCACUUCCAUGAUAUAAACUACACCCAGCAGUUCCCUGGGGGAUGGGGAGGGAAGAUGAGGGGUGGAGUUGGCAAGAGGGUUUCUUAGAAGCUGAUAUAACAGGGCUGAGCAGACAGAGCCCAGCACAGCCUUGGCAGGGCUCCCAGGGACAGAUGCUGGAGAAUUGACCUCAGGCCUAGAUGUACAGAAAGAAAUGCCUGCCUGUCCUGGGCCUCACCCACCCAUGCUGCUUUCUUCCUAGUGUUCCAGAAACCACAUUCCUAGCUAUCUACUCCUCCCCAGUCCUGUGGCUCCUCCUGCUAGGCUAUACUCCAGAAGGCAGGAAAGCUGCCUCCUCAGCAGCAUGAGGGCUGCAGCCGCCAACAUGCCUGCUGGUCAGGCCCAGUUCCCUCACCCAGCCCCGGGCCUGCGCACAGGUGCUGGAGGCUACAUAUGGAAUAGGACAGCCCAGGAAGCAAACAGUGUAAGUUGUAAGUUUCUUUUUACUGUUAGAAACCUCUUGAUUAGGCAGCAAGGUACACUGAACCUGCUUCUCAGUAUUUUGAACAUAUUUUGGCCAGUAACAAGGGCAAAGUAGCUCCUCUAAAUGGCACACAUUUGCUUCCUUGACUCUAGGCUCAAUGGGGGACUUCCCCCUGUUCUGCGGGGCAUCCCUUUGGCAAGGCCCACCCACACUCAGUAUCUCCAGUGUGGCUCAGGACC
rnacentral:lncRNA from 1 species